UGUUAAUAUCUUGUGGGCAUA
ensembl:piRNA 21ur-2006 ncRNA